rnacentral:rRNA from 1 species
CCGAAAGGCGUAGUCGAUGGGAAUGCAGUUAAUAUUCUGCAGCCUGGUGGUAGUGACGGAUCUCGUAAAUUGUACAUCCUUAUUGGAUUGGGUGUGCAGUGAAGAGGUUCCAGGAAAUAGCUCCACCGUAUAGACCGUACCCCAAACCGACACAGGUGGUCAGGUAGAGAAUACCAAGGCGCUUGAGAGAACUCGGGUGAAGGAACUAGGCAAAAUGGUACCGUAACUUCGGGAGAAGGUACGCUGUUGCCGGUGAUGGGACUUGCUCCCUAAGCUAGCGACAGUCGAAGAUACCAGUUGGCUGCGACUGUUUAUUAAAAACACAGCACUCUGCAAACUCGUAAGAGGACGUAUAGGGUGUGACACCUGCCCGGUGCCGGAAGGUUAAUUGAUGGGGUUAGCGUAA